GGUAAGAAAAGAAAUAAUAAAAAUGAUAAUAUUCCAUGUGUACGUGUGUGUGGUUAUAUGUGUGAUACUAGAGAAUGGGUGUCUACUAAGGUCAUUGGUGCUGAAGGUAAUAAAUGGUGGAAGUGGUGUGAUGGUUCUAAUAUAUAUUGAUAUACUUAUGUUUUAUUUUAAAGUUUGACCAAGUAGUUAUUUAUAUAUAUGGGUAAGUUAUUGACCAGGUCAAGUACAUAUUCCACCCACCCAUGUAUAUAGAUAUCUAGUAAUACACUUUAUUCUAAAAGCUUCCAAAGGAGGCUGUUACUAAUUGACACACACACGCAUGAGUCAUGAAGAGGGGAAAAUCACAUUUAUAUCUAAGUGACACGUUGUCUAGAGAUUUGCAUGGACAAGAAAAAGAAAAAAAAAUAAUAAAAAUACAAAUAGAAACAAAGGAGGGAUUUUUCAGCCGUAGAAGAAGAAAAUAUUAUUAAACUUUGGGUAACACAUGUCACAUAAGCUAUGUGACAAUUUACAUUUCCUGGAGACUAGAUGUACACCAUCCAUGUGACUAUAUACUUUUCAAGACUAAAGUUAUUAUGCUUUAAAGCGGUGGCUGGUGGCUGCAAUAUAUAGUUGUCUAUAUAUAUAGGUUUCAAUUAUCAUUUAUAUGGAUAGAGAUGAGUAAAGUCAGGUUGCUGGCUGCACAAGGCUGGACCGAACACACAGGACACGCAAUUAUGUAGAUAUACUCUAUAUAUAGAUAAGGUUAAUUCUAUCUUUUUAAACCUGUUUGGACCGCCUUUGAGAAAGCCAUUGUUUUGGUUGAGACACACAAAAUAUAUCAAAACAGUGAGCUAUUUAGUGAUAGUUCAAAGAGAGAAGAAAAAUACGGAGGAGGAGGAUAGAAAAGAAAAAAGGGGGUUUUCUCUCUAAAUUGUUGUUGAAUUCAAGCAAAGGUGAGGGGUUUUAUAUUAUAAUUUCUAUGUUGGAAGUUGAUUAUUCAGUUAUUUGAAUAAUUAAUCCAAUUAAUUGUUCCAGUAUAUGUAUCAUCUAUUUUUUUUAUAUUUUAUUUAUUUAUUCAAAGGCUGUUUUGUGUAAGUGAUACCAUGGUUAUGGUUAUUUUCUUUGGGGUCAUCAAGCUGGAAAUUUAUAUAAAGACAUGUGAUUAGAAUUUAGCCAAAAGGGUGUAUAAAGUUUGAGAAUUGUAAUUGAGGUGAUGAUUGUGAUUUAAUUCUCUUUAGAAAAUAAAUAUAACUUGGUUAUAUUCUUGUCCAGGCAAGGAGAAUGAACUGAUCACUUCAGCAAUAUCAAAGGAUAAGUAGACAAUUUGAAAAGUAGCCAAGGUACAAGGUUGGGUCGCUACUGCCAGGUCUAGAAUUUUUGAGUGGGAAUGGGAAAAAGAACAAUGGAACGUCUUUUGUUUAAUAUGUAAAUAUUGUAAUAGAAUUUAAUAGUAUAAGUUGCCGUUAA